GACGAACGCUGGCGGCGUGCUUAACACAUGCAAGUCGAGCGGUAAGGCCCUUUCGGGGGUACGACGAGCGGCGAACGGGUGAGUAACACGUGGGUGACCUGCCCUCAGCUCUGGGAUAAGCCUGGGAAACUGGGUCUAAUACUGGAUAUGACUCCACGGUGCAUGUCGUGGGGUGGAAAGCCUUGUGCGGCUGAGGAUGGGCCCGCGGCCUAUCAGCUUGUUGGUGGGGUGAGGCCUACCAAGGCGACGACGGGUAGCCGGCCUGAGAGGGCGACCGGCCACACUGGGACUGAGGCACGGCCCAGACUCCUACGGGAGGCAGCAGUGGGGAAUCUUGCGCAAUGGGCGAAAGCCUGACGCAGCGACGCCGCGUGAGGGAUGACGGCCUCGGUUGUAA
rnacentral:rRNA from 1 species